rnacentral:rRNA from 1 species
ACUACCCGCUGAACUUAAGCAUAUCAAUAAGCGGAGGAAAAGAAACUAACAAGGAUUCCCUUAGUAACGGCGAGUGAAGAGGGAAGAGCUCAAAUUUUGAAUCUGACGCCCUUGGCGUCCGAGUUGUAAUCUAGAGAAGUGUUUUCUGUGGCGGACCAUGCAUAAAUCUCCUGGAACGGAGUGUCAUAGAGGGUGAGAAUCCCGUAUAUGGCAUGGACUCCCGUUACUUUACGAUACACUCUCCACGAGUCGAGUUGUUGG